rnacentral:rRNA from 1 species
CUCAAGAAACUUAAAGGAAUUGACGGGGCCCGCACAAGCGGUGGAGCAUGUGGUUUAAUUCGAUGAUACGCGAGGAACCUUACCUGGGCUCAAAUGUAUGUUGACGUAUUCUGAAAGGGAUACUUCUUCGGACAAUAUACAAGGUGCUGCAUGGUUGUCGUCAGCUCGUGCCGUGAGGUGUCGGGUUAAGUCCCAUAACGAGCGCAACCCCUAUCAUUAGUUGCCAUCAGGUCAAGCUGGGGACUCUAAUGAAACUGCCUACGCAAGUAGUGAGGAAGGUGGGGAUGACGUCAAAUCAGCACGGCCCUUACGUCCAGGGCUACACACGUGCUACAAUGGCCGGUACAAAGGGCAGCUACCUGGUGACAGGAUGCUAAUCUCAAAAGCCGGUCUCAGUUCGGAUCGGAGUCUGCAACCCGACUCCGUGAGGCUGGAAUCGCUAGUAAUCGCGCAUCAGCCAUGGCGCGGUGAAUACGUUCCCGGGCCUU